rnacentral:rRNA from 1 species
CGUGUAGCCGGGAAGGCAAGUCAGAUGUGAAAUCUAUGGGCUCAACCCAUACGAGCAUUUGAAACUGUCUUUCUUGAGUAUCGGAGAGGUAAUCGGAAUUCCUAGUGUAGCGGUGAAAUGCGUAGAUAUUAGGAAGAACACCAGUGGCGAAGGCGGAUUACUGGACGACAACUGACGGUGAGGCGCGAAAGCGUGGGGAGCAAACAGGAUUAGAUACCCCCGUA